CUUGUAGAUUAUUAAGUCUAUAUUUAAUUUGCGGUGGUUUACACAGCCCCCAAAAUAAUACCUACUGCCUCCCACAGAGAGGGAGGAAAGAUGUGUGGUCUGCACCCUGACCAGCAGGGGAUGGGUUCCCACAGCAUCCAAUGCACUUCUGUGCAAGGAAGAGCAGAUCCAGUGGCUGCCUCUUCUCUGAGGUGAGGGUGCAAAAUUUGUGUCAAUUAACCCUUCCUGCAGGGCCAUACAGCUAGGAGUGGCAGCUGUGAUCUGGGAUGGGAAAUGAUGAGAUGGAAUCAACAGCGGAAAGCAAUUGUGUUGGCAUCUGAUGGGUUAAGUUUAGGUGUAGCUCGUCACAGCCAUGAGCCCCAUGGUUUGAGGACAAGGAUCAUUCACUCAGUGCAGCACACAAAGCACCACUGAACUUCAUGCCAUCCUCCAGGCAAGCCCUGGGGAGCUAUGGUCUCAACAGCUAGUUAACAACUAGUUAAAGGGAACAAUGCAACUCCAACUUCCCCUUGAGAACUGUGUUAAAUGCGGACAAAUGACCCAGCAACACGUUCAGAGACAUGGGAUACCACCAAGAAGGGGUGGUUGUGCGUCCUUCCUGCUCUGACAGACUGCGGCAUUUUUUGCUGGAUAAACACAAAAGGUGAGGCUGUAAGAUGCUUCUGCAUUUCAGGUGAAUUCGCAGCUGCCUGAACCCCAAAAUAAACAGGACAGAGGAUGUA
rnacentral:lncRNA from 1 species